rnacentral:RNase_P_RNA from 1 species
AAUGCAAGCUGUUCUAUCGCUGGCCCGAUCAAAAGGGAAAGAGGAAAGUCCGGGCAACACAGAGCAUCUCGCUUCCUAACGGGAAGAGGCUCAGGACUGAAUGCCUGAGUUAUGGAAAGUGCCGCAGAAAAUAUACCGCCGAUGGCUUUUAAGCACAGGUAAGGUUGAAAACGUGAGGUAAGAGCUCACGAUUUUUCCGGGCGAUCGGAAGAGUGGUAAACCCCGGGAGUUGAAAGACCAAAUAGGCUAACGUAUGUAGGGCUGCUCGUCCGAUGUUAGUGGGUAGGUCGUUAGAGAUAAAUGGUAACAUUUAUAGUAGAUUAAUGGUAGAAUCCUAAUUUAUUGGGAACAGAACCCGGCUUAUAGGCUUGCAUUUUUU